UACGUAGGGUGCGAGCGUUGUCCGGAAUUAUUGGGCGUAAAGGGCUCGUAGGCGGUUUGUCGCGUCGGGAGUGAAAUCCACUGGCUUAACUGGUGGCUUGCUUUCGAUACGGGGCAGACUAGAGGUAGGCAGGGGAGAGCGGAACUCCUGGUGUAGCGGUGGAAUGCGCAGAUAUCAGGAAGAACACCGGUGGCGAAGGCGGCUCUCUGGGCCUUACCUGACGCUGAGGAGCGAAAGCGUGGGGAGCGAACGGG
rnacentral:rRNA from 1 species